AACAUUAAUUUUGACUCCGUUCAAAGACAAUACGCCACCGUUUACAGUAACUGUUCCGCUAUUGAUCGGAGGACUAACCUGAUUCGUCCCUCCUGUCGAGGUCGAUGGAUUAGAAGGCUCCGUUGGUUGCGUUGUAGCAGCUUCAGCUCUCGUCACAGUCACAGUGUAGGUCUUGCCAAUACCGUUUGAUGAUGUUACUACAAUCGGAAUGACAUUGCUUCCAACAUUCAAACGAAUCGUCCCACUUGUUUGCCCGUUCACUGCCGGAGUACCGUUAACGGUGAAAGAAGCAGAACUGUCAUAUACACUUGCUGUUACAGUAAUACCCGCUACUUCAUUGUUCACUUUAGAAGUAUAGUCAGUUAACUCAGGGUUA
rnacentral:rRNA from 1 species